rnacentral:rRNA from 1 species
UGGGGAAUAUUGGACAAUGGGGGGAACCCUGAUCCAGCCAUGCCGCGUGUGUGAAGAAGGCCUUAUGGUUGUAAAGCACUUUAAGCGAGGAGGAGGGUACUGGUAUUAAUACUACCAGCUACUGGACGUUACUCGCAGAAUAAGCACCGGCUAACUCUGUGCCAGCAGCCGCGGUAAUACAGAGGGUGCGAGCGUUAAUCGGAUUUACUGGGCGUAAAGCGUGCGUAGGCGGCUAAUUGAGUCGGAUGUGAAAUCCCCGAGCUUAACUUGGGAAGUGCAUUCGAUACUGGUUAGCUAGAGUGUGGGAGAGGAUGGUAGAAUUCCAGGUGUAGCGGAGAAAUGCGUAGAGAUCUGGAGGAAUACCGAUGGCGAAGGCAGCCAUCUGGCCUAACACUGACGCUGAGGUGCGAAAGCAUGGGGAGCAAACAGG